AUGCGCCGCUUGGCACUAUACCCGACGGGCGGGGAGCAACUCCGGGUCACUGUGGCUAACGGCGACCGCCUCCGAUGUCAUGGGGUUGAGCGAAACGUCCCCAUCACCAUCGGUGAAGAGCACUUCACCAUCAUGUGCUCCGGCAUCGACUUGGGCUGCUUCGACUUCAUCCUCGGCGUCGACUUCUUGCAGACCCUGGGUCCCAUCCUCUGGGACUUUGACGCCAUGACAAUGACCUUCUGGCGCUUGGGUCACCGUGUCCGGUGGGAGGGCAUGGGUGGCGCCUCACCGGCGGUGCCGCAUCUGUAG
rnacentral:rRNA from 1 species